rnacentral:rRNA from 1 species
CCUACGGGUGGCAGCAGUGGGGGAUAUUGCACAAUGGGGGGAACCCUGAUGCAGCGACGCCGCGUGUGGGAAGACGGUCCUCUGGAUUGUAAACCACUGUCCCCAGGGACGAAAAUGACGGUACCUGGGGAGGAAGCUCCGGCUAACUACGUGCAAGCAGCCGCGGUAAUACGGAGGGAGCGAGCGUUGUCCUGAAUUACUGGGUGUAAAGGGAGCGUAGGCGGGGAAGCAAGUUGGGUGUCAAAACUACCGGCUCAACUGGUAGUCGCACUCAAAACUGCAGCUCUGGAGUGAAGUAGAGGGAGGCGGAAUUCCUAGUGUGGCGGUGAAAUGCGUAGAUAUUAGGAGGAACACCAGUGGCGAAGGCAGCCUGCUGGGCUUUUACUGACGCUGAGGCUCGAAAGUGUGGUGGGCAAACAGGAUUAGAUACCCUAGUC